rnacentral:rRNA from 1 species
UACGUAGGGUGCAAGCGUUAAUCGGAAUUACUGGGCGUAAAGCGUGCGCAGGCGGUUCGCUAAGACAGAUGUGAAAUCCCCGGGCUUAACCUGGGAACUGCAUUUGUGACUGGCGGGCUAGAGUAUGGCAGAGGGGGGUAGAAUUCCACGUGUAGCAGUGAAAUGCGUAGAGAUGUGGAGAAAUACCGAUGGCGAAGGCAGCCCCCUGGCCAAUACUGACGCUCAUGCACGAAAGCGUGGGGAGCAAACAGG